CAUUUUAAUACUUCUGUUCAAUCAACAGUGCACCACAUCGUUGGGUUUUGCGCAGUACACUCACUGCCGGCUGGAGGAGCCUCACACCCAGCGGAACUUUACUCCACCAGGCAGCUGAGUUACAGCACAGUGAUUGUGCCUCUGCAAGAAGAAAGACAAUCCCAUAUCAUGAGCCUUGCGAAACACUGGGACUUCAACAGGCAGCAAAACAAAUACGGUUUUCCAAACCCUUCUUGAAGCUGUGUGAAGUUGGUGCG
rnacentral:lncRNA from 1 species